rnacentral:rRNA from 1 species
GAUGAACGCUGGCGGCGUGCCUAAUACAUGCAAGUCGAGCGAACGGACGAGAAGCUUGCUUCUCUGAUGUUAGCGGCGGACGGGUGAGUAACACGUGGAUAACCUACCUAUAAGACUGGGAUAACUUCGGGAAACCGGAGCUAAUACCGGAUGAUAUUUUGAACCGCAUGGUUCAAAAGUGAAAGACGGUCUUGCUGUCACUUAUAGAUGGAUCAGCGCUGCAUUAGCUAGUUGGUAAGGUAACGGCUUACCAAGGCAACGAUGCAUAGCCGACCUGAGAGGGUGAUCGGCCACACUGGAACUGAGACACGUCCGCGACUCCUACGGGAGGCAGCAGUAGGGAAUCCUCCGCGAUGGGCGAAAGCCUGACGGAGCAACGCCGCGUGAGUGAUGAAGGUCUUCGGAUCGGAAAGCUCUGUUAUUAGGGAAGAACAUAUGUGUAAGUACCUGUGCACAUCUUGACGGUACCUAAUCAGAAAGCCACGGCUAACUACGUG